rfam:Rhizobium lusitanum strain P1-7 genome assembly, contig: Ga0061101_174
GGGAGCCGGGUGAGGUGAGAGCCUCACGCCCGGUUCUGAGAGAGGCUGGAGGUGAAAUUCCUCCGGCCUACUCGCC